rnacentral:rRNA from 1 species
GUCUACGGCCAUACCACCUUGAAUGCACAAGUUCUCGUCCGAUCACUGAAGUUCAACAACGUCGGGCUCGGUUAGUAUUUCAAUGGGUGACCGCCUGUGAACACUGAGUGCUGUAGACU